rnacentral:rRNA from 1 species
UGGGGGAAUAUUGCGGCAAUGGGGGGCAACCCUGACGCAGCAACGCCGCGUGAUUGAAGAAGGUCUUCGGAUUGUAAAAAUCUUUUAUCAGGGACGAAGAAGUGACGGUACCUGAUGAAUAAGCUCCGGCUAACUACGUGCCAGCAGCCGCGGUAAUACGUAGGGAGCAAGCGUUAUCCGGAUUUACUGGGUGUAAAGGGCGAGUAGGCGGGUCGGCAAGUUGGGAGUGAAAUGUCGGGGCUUAACCCCGGAACUGCUUCCAAAACUGUUGAUCUUGAGUGAUGGAGAGGCAGGCGGAAUUCCCAGUGUAGCGGUGAAAUGCGUAGAUAUUGGGAGGAACACCAGUGGCGAAGGCGGCCUGCUGGACUUUAACUGACGCUGAGGCACGAAAGCGUGGUAGCAAACAGGAUUAGAUACCCUGGUAGU